UCACCACUCAAGCUCUGCUUGGUAUUGGGUCGCGCCGUCCCCUGGGCGGCGGACCCCAAAUCCAAUGGCCGCCCCUGCUGGGUCUCGAGCGUAGUAAAUCAACUCGCUAGGGAACCCGCAGGUUCGCGCGCCCCCCUCUAUUUUUCA
rnacentral:misc_RNA from 1 species